UAAAAGUAAACAUGAGUUUUGAUGUCACGGCGACCUGUAAAUUCUUGUGAAAGAAUUUCGUAGUCGAAUACCCUUCGGAGCCGGUCUCCUGCUGUUAGUGAAAAUGAUGGUCAAGGUGGUGGACGGUAAGUAUCAUUAACUCUUAAUCCUUUGCUGUUAGUGUCAGAUGUACCUGUUCAGAAGACAGUACACAACCUUCAGUGGCAGUGGAAGAAAUGUGGGUUUUUGUGUUGGUUUUUGCCGUUUUCAAAGAGGUAGGAAUAUAUCUUGUGAAGCGCUGUGUGAUUAAGCUGUUACAAGUUUGAUUAAUAAAUUGAUUUUUAGUUGGGCACCAUGUCAUUUAAUCCAGCCAAGAUGGGUAAGUUUAGCAAGCGUUAAUCAGUGUAAACUAAUCUCAGAGAAUAUAACAGAAUAACACAAAGUUUUUUAAUGAAGACACUCUAAUUUUUUCUCUCAUUCGUCUUCUAAUUGUGUAAUUUUAAACUGGUUUUAAUGAGGAAAGAAGUAGUAAAUUCGUAGUUUUAGAUGAUCGCAAGGGUUUGACCUUUCCGGAUUCGAGUGAAAUUGGGGGUGAUUUUUUGUACGAGACGGUGGUCCCCAACUGCCAAAAUCACACGUACUGUGAACACUUGGACCGCUACCCUAAAGAACUAUUUUCCAAAAUAUUAAAAAGCCGCGAAAAGGAGUUUUCUCGGUACUUUCAGAGUAUGGCAGUAAUAGAGCCCAUUAUGAGUAGGAACCAAGACACUUCCUGUAUUUGUGCAUCACGCAAAAGUAUUAUAUACCCAAAAGCGGCAUAUAAUAUAAAAAAUAAUCUGAAAUUUAUCUACAACUUCGAUGGAUACAAACAAGGAGUGUCCGUAGAGGUCUGCGUGAUAAAAAAUCAAAUGUGCAAAUUUUACGAGAAGGUGAGAAAGUUAAAAACAAGGUGUCGACAAAAGUUCGUCGAAAAAUUGUUACUGACGGCUGAUGAAAAUGGAAGACCGUACGCUGAUAGGUACAGAUUUCCAUCAGCUUGUGUCUGUUCGUACAAGAUAAUUAGCUCUAAUGUGUUUUUUACUUAAAGUUGGGGUAAGUUUCGUAAUUUAAAUUUUGUUUCACCUACUAACUCAUUUUUAGUAACUGCAGAGUAAUACAUUUACUUUGUGGAGAAGUGAACUGAGACGAUUUUAUCCCUGUAAUUAUCGCAGUAUUAGGUGGAAGAAAACGAUAGGUAUUAAUCACAAUUUAGUGAAUCCCAGCUAAUAAUUCUUGAAAAGUAAUUACGUGUGAUUUGUGUGAUUAUGACGAAUUGUAGGUACGUAAGUUAUUGUGGACUAAUGUGUGUUUUUAUAAUUAAAUUUUAGCAAUUUUAGUCCGGACGUUAGUCAAGUUUUUAUUUAUUGUUACAAGCUUUACCAGUGUCUGAAACUGUUUAAGCAUUUUAUGAAAUAUUAUGUUAGAACUAGCUUAAGCAUUAAAAAUGUACAAACAGACGAAAAGUAUUGUAGUAUUGUAAAUUUAUGUGUACUAUAAACUGUAAUUAAUAAAGCUGUUGAUGUUCGAAUGAACUUAUUUUAUGUGGGAAAAUAAAUAAAAUUUGUUGCAAACAGGAAAGCUGUUAAUAACUGAAACUUAAAUGAAUUUCCUUCAGUUUUGUUUGAGGAACGGUGUGGUCUGAUGUGCGUCCGUGAUGCUGAGUUAUUUGUAUUUGAAAUAAGAAGCCUCUAAUUUAAUAGUAAUAGGUGAGUUGGUUAAAUUCAACCAAAACGUAGUGUGGGCUCUUCUUGCACCUUUAUUGUAACAAAAAAAUUCCACAUAUCUCACUCUUAAUACUUUAAUUAAUUGCUGUUGUGUUUUGAGGGGGGAUUUAUUGGUUUUAUGAAUUUAUUUAAAUAGUUUAAAAAAAAUUUUGGCUUGUGGGGCUAAGGAUAUUCUAAUAGAAUUUUAAAUAAUUCAUAUUUGUUUAGUUUUUUCUGGAUUGUUUUUGUUUUGAAGAACGGUUUUUUUUCUUUUUAGAAUUUAUUUUAUUGUUGAGGGAUUAACUUGAUUUUUGGAAUUUAAUUUGUUAAUAAUUAACUCUAGAAGAAUUGUUAUGACUUUUUUAUUUGACUGAAUAUCAUUUCUUUUUAUGAGAUUUGUAUUAUUUAUUUCUAGUAUAGUAAUUUUUUAUAGGCGUGAAUAUAUGGUAGGGGCUCCAAAAUGUAAUUUUAACAUUCGGUCCUUUCGUACUAGAACAUUAACAUAAAUAAAAGAUAGAAACCAACCUGGCUCACGCCGGUUUAAACUCAGAUCAUGUAAAAUUUUAAAGGUCGAACAGACCCAAUAUUCCAGCUUCUACACCGAAAAUUAAUUUUAAUCCAACAUCGAGGUCGCAAACUUUUCUGUAAAUAUGAACUUUCAAAAAAAAUUACGCUGUUAUCCCUAAGGUAAUUUAAUCUUUUAAUCCAAAAUUCAGGAUCAACAAUUCACUAAUCAGUGUAAAAACAAAAAAAAAGUUAAAUCAAUUUUCCUAUCACCCCAACAAAAUUCUUUAAACUAUCAAGGAAAAGAAAACUUCAAUACCAAUAAAAACUUAAAAAAUAAAACUCUAUAGGGUCUUCUCGUCUUUUUAAAAAAUUUAAGCAUUCUCACUUAAAAUUCAAAUUAUAAUACAAUUAAUUAGAGACAGUUAAUUUCUCAUUAAACCA